UGUGGAUCAUCCCCGUCGGCAGGCAUGC
rnacentral:piRNA from 1 species